rnacentral:rRNA from 1 species
UCCUACGGGAGGCAGCAGUGGGGAAUAUUGGACAAUGGGCGCAAGCCUGAUCCAGCCAUGCCGCGUGAGUGAUGAAGGCCCUAGGGUUGUAAAGCUCUUCAACGGUGAAGAUAAUGACGUAACCG